UACGGGUGACGUCACUGGUAAGAAGUCUGACGUCUGCAAGACAGUGUCUGGAGUUAGGCUAGGAAUAACGUGUAUAACAUAAUGUAAACUUAGUUUACCAAAUAAGUAAGAAAAUAUUGACGCAGUCAACUGUCUUGGUCAGCACCCCAGCCCAGGUGUGAAUCAACACUGGCACAUUAUAUCAAAAUUCAGGAUGGUGGCUGAAGCUCAUCUCCUAUGUAAACACCUAAAUGCCAAGUCUGGACUUCAAAAACAGAUUCUGAAAGUUUAACCAGCA